rnacentral:rRNA from 1 species
UAAACCAGGGGUUUUCCCGUAGGGUGAACCCUGCGGAAGGAUUCAUUA